rnacentral:rRNA from 1 species
GACGAACGCUGGCGGCGUGCUUAACACAUGCAAGUCGAACGGAAAGGCCCUGCUUUUGUGGGGUGCUCGAGUGGCGAACGGGUGAGUAACACGUGAGUAACCUGCCCUUGACUUUGGGAUAACUUCAGGAAACUGGGGCUAAUACCGGAUAGGAGCUCCUGCUGCAUGGUGGGGGUUGGAAAGUUUCGGCGGUUGGGGAUGGACUCGCGGCUUAUCAGCUUGUUGGUGGGGUAGUGGCUUACCAAGGCUUUGACGGGUAGCCGGCCUGAGAGGGUGACCGGCCACAAUGGGACUGAGAUACGGCCCAGACUCCUACGGGAGGCAGCAGUGGGGAAUAUUGCACAAUGGGAGGAAGCCUGAGGCAGCAACGCCGCGUGCGGGAUGACGGCCUUCGGGUUGUAAACCGCGUUCGCCUGUGACGAAGCGUGAGUGACGGUAAUGGGUAAAGAAGCACCGGCUAACUACGUG